AGCAUGCAAGGGAGAGGCGGCGAGGUACCGGGGGCGGGGGUUAAGUGCUGUAUCUGCAGAUGUAAAUGCUCAGGUGCGCUUCUGAGGGGGAAAUUUAGGCAGCUCUGCUUCCAGCUACACGCACGUUGCUAUCGAGGUAAUAGUUGCCCCUGAGGAAACUGUACAGGCAGUGACCCUGCACGGGGUAUGCGGUGUCGGUGGGCUAAGGGGAUACCUGUGCAGCAGUACUGGCUGUAGGGAGAAGGCUUAGAGGUGGGAGGAAGGGGUUGAUUGUGCUUGCUGCUUUCCUGGGUUUUGUGACUGGCCAGUAGCCUUUUUCCAGAAGAAGCUGGCACUUUAGCUCAAGAAAAAGGCAUUUGAGGAGUCCUAGAACUAUGACUUCACCCAGGAUUCUGCCCAAAUAGAAGCAUCUUGUCUUGAAAACUAAUAGAAGAUAAUACCUGUUUAAAGUAUCUUCAUCUCCACCACUUUGCUUCUGUAGCCAAACUUACCACCUGCUUUGUCUAGUCAAGCUUUAAAGAUCUUAUUUCCAUCUCUGCAACACCCUCUUGAGGAUGUAACUAGAUCAUUUCAUCUUAUUGCUGUUAGCUUUGUGAAUCUGCAUGUAGUUCAGUGUUCAGAGCUUUUUCAAACAGCAGUGGUCUGGAAUAAGAGCAGAAUUUUGCUAGCUUUUAUUGUUGUAUUCAGAAUCCCAUCCCAGCAGUGCAACUGAUCAGAACUAUGUCACUUUAACCCUGCUACUUGGAAAAAAUCCUGAGCGGCAGCAAAAGAAACUACUGGAGAGGGAAAUGGAGGAUAAACUAGUAGAACAACUUUAAGGUUAGGGGCUGGUAGAGAGAAUGCUCCUUUUGCAGGGGAAAUGUAUGGGGAGGGGGCUUCAAAACUGUCACACACCUACUAGCAAGCAGCUGACAAAAGAUGGAGCCCUUGAGUAGGGUAAAGGGACAACACCAUGUUCCAAACUAGCAGCAGGUGGAGAGUGAAAGCAAUUCUGAUUAUUUGUCAGUGGACAGUUCAAGACUUCAAAUUUGGCUAUGUGACAAAACAUGGUUGUCCCCGUUUUCAGGUUUCAGUCCUGUUCUUUCAGGGACAGCUCAUGCAUCUUCCCAGUUGACCAUGGGGGCUCCAUGCAGCGAAUGGUCUCCCACUUGGAGCACGCCUGAAUUGUUGGAUCCUGCUGGCACUGUGGGGAGAGAUGCCUGUGCAGUCACAGUCCUAGCUCUGCUUCAGCUGUAGGAACUUCAAUACCUAUGGUCAGAUAUCUCAUGGCUUAUUGGAUAAGAGUUACAAAUGGAACAUGCAUCAGUGCUGUGGAUUUGUGAAGCUUUUCUUUUCAUGCAAAACUUAAAUGGGGGGCCUAAGCUGCCUGACCAACUGAUCUAGGGUGACCAGACAGCAAGUAUGAAAAAUCAAGACAGGGGGUGGGGGGUAAUAGGAGCCUAUACAAGAGACUCAAAAAUCAGGACUGCCCCUAUAAAAUCGGGACAUCUGGUCACCCUAAACUGAUCUAACUGCAUGGCUUUUCUAUAGUUAGGCUGGCAAAGAUUACAUCUUUAUUGGUAAAUGUCAGUUUCACCAUCCACACACACUGACAGAAUUGCUAAUUGAAAUGUAAAGAGGCAAUGUAAGAAAAAUCCUGCUUGAGAACUUUAGAGUUUGAUUUAAGGAUAUAUACUUUGUAUAUUUUGGCAUGUGAUGUUGACAAUUUGUGUUUUAAUGGUUAUAUAGACUUUACUUUUUGAAUCUCAAUGCCUACUACCACUAAAUAAUAUCUGAUGCCCCCCAUUUCCUGCAGUUGUGAAAAUUUCAAUAAAAUGCUUAAACAUUAA